GAAUCCCGUCUUUGACACGGACUGCCUGUACAUUAUGGUGUGCUCUCGAAGAGUCGAGUUGUUUGGGAAUGCAGCUCAAAAUGGGUGGUAAAUGCCAUCUAAAGCUAAAUAUUGGCGAGAGACCGAUAGCGAACAAGUACCGUGAGGGAAAGAUGAAAAGAACUUUGGAAAGAGAGUUAAACAGUACGUGAAAUUGCUGAAAGGGAAACGCUUGAAGUCAGUCGCGUUGGCUAGAAAUCAACCUUGCUUUUGCUUUGUGUACUUUCUGGUUGACGGGUCAGCAUCAAUUUUGACCACUGGAUAAAGUCUUUGGGAAUGUGGCAUCUUCGGAUGUGUUAUAGCCCAUUGUCGCAUAUGGUGGUUGGGAUUGAGGAACUCAGCACGCCGCAAGGCCGGGUUUCGACCACGUUCGUGCUUAGGAUGCUGGCAUAAUGGCUUUAAUCGACCCGUCUUGAAACACGGACCAAGGAGUCUAACAUGCCUGCGAGUGUUUGGGUGGAAAAACCCAUGCGCGCAAUGAAAGUGAAAGUUGAGAUCCUCUUCAAAGGGGGAGCAUUGACGCCCGGACCAGACCUUUUGUGACGGAUCCGCGGUAGAGCAUGCAUGUUGGGACCCGAAAGAUGGUGAACUAUGCCUGAAUAGGGUGAAGCCAGAGGAAACUCUGGUGGAGGCUCGUAGCGAUUCUGACGUGCAAAUCGAUCGUCAAAUUUGGGUAUAGGGGCGAAAGACUAAUCGAACCAUCUAGUAGCUGGUUCCUGCC
rnacentral:rRNA from 1 species